rnacentral:rRNA from 1 species
CUACGGGUGGCACCAGGCGAGAAAACUUUGCAAUGUGCGAAAGCACGACAAGGUUAAUCCGAGUGGUUUGUGCUAAACGAACCCUUUGACGGUCCUAGAAACACUGUUGAAUAAGGGGUGGGCAAGUUCUGGUGUCAGCCGCCGCGGUAAAACCAGCACCUCAAGUGGUCAGGAUGAUUAUUGGGCCUAAAGCAUCCGUAGCCGGCUCUGUAAGUUUUCGGUUAAAUCUGUACGCUCAACGUACAGGCUGCCGGGAAUACUGCAGAGCUAGGGAGUGGGAGAGGUAGACGGUACUCGGUAGGAAGGGGUAAAAUCCUUUGAUCUAUUGAUGACCACCUGUGGCGAAGGCGGUCUACCAGAACACGUCCGACGGUGAGGGAUGAAAGCUGGGGGAGCAAACCGGAUUAGAUACCCGCGUAGUC